AGUAGGGUCAGCUAAUUAAGCUUUUGGGCCCAUACCCCAAGAAUGUUGGUUAAACCCCUUCCCCUACUA
rnacentral:tRNA from 2 species